UACGUAGGGUGCAAGCGUUGUCCGGCAUUAUUGGGCGUAAAGAGCUCGUAGGCGGUCUGUCGCGUCGGCUGUGAAAACCCGGGGCUCAACCCCGGGCCUGCAGUCGAUAUGGGCAGACUAGAGUGCGGUAGGGGAGACUGGAAUUCCUGGUGUAGCGGUGAAAUGCGCAGAUAUCAGGAGGAACACCGGUGGCGAAGGCGGGUCUCUGGGCCGUAACUGACGCUGAGGAGCGAAAGCGUGGGGAGCGAACAGG
rnacentral:rRNA from 1 species